rnacentral:rRNA from 1 species
UAGCUACAGGCUUAACACAUGCAAGUCGAGGGGCAGCAUUUCAGUUUGCUUGCAAACUGGAGAUGGCGACCGGCGCACGGGUGAGUAACACGUAUCCAACCUGCCGAUAACUCGGGGAUAGCCUUUCGAAAGAAAGAUUAAUACCCGAUGGUAUAAUCAGACCGCAUGGUCUUGUUAUUAAAGAAUUUCGGUUAUCGAUGGGGAUGCGUUCCAUUAGGCAGUUGGUGAGGUAACGGCUCACCAAACCUUCGAUGGAUAGGGGUUCUGAGAGGAAGGUCCCCCACAUUGGAACUGAGACACGGUCCAAACUCCUACGGGAGGCAGCAGUGAGGAAUAUUGGUCAAUGGGCGCAGGCCUGAACCAGCCAAGUAGCGUGAAGGAUGACUGCCCUAUGGGUUGUAAACUUCUUUUAUAUGGGAAUAAAGUUUUCCACGUGUGGAAUUUUGUAUGUACCAUAUGAAUAAGGAUCGGCUAACUCCGUGCCAGCAGCCGCGGUAAUACGGAGGAUCCGAGCGUUAUCCGGAUUUAUUGGGUUUAAAGGGAGCGUAGGUGGACAGUUAAGUCAGUUGUGAAAGUUUGCGGCUCAACCGUAAAAUUGCAGUUGAUACUGGCUGUCUUGAGUACAGUAGAGGUGGGCGGAAUUCGUGGUGUAGCGGUGAAAUGCUUAGAUAUCACGAAGAACUCCGAUUGCGAAGGCAGCUCACUGGACUGCAACUGACACUGAUGCUCGAAAGUGUGGGUAUCAAACAGGAUUAGAUACCCUGGUAGUCCACACAGUAAACGAUGAAUACUCGCUGUUUGCGAUAUACAGUAAGCGGCCAAGCGAAAGCAUUAAGUAUUCCACCUGGGGAGUACGCCGGCAACGGUGAAACUCAAAGGAAUUGACGGGGGCCCGCACAAGCGGAGGAACAUGUGGUUUAAUUCGAUGAUACGCGAGGAACCUUACCCGGGCUUAAAUUGCAUUUGAAUAAUCUGGAAACAGGUUAGCCGCAAGGCAAAUGUGAAGGUGCUGCAUGGUUGUCGUCAGCUCGUGCCGUGAGGUGUCGGCUUAAGUGCCAUAACGAGCGCAACCCUUAUCUUUAGUUACUAACAGGUCAUGCUGAGGACUCUAGAGAGACUGCCGUCGUAAGAUGUGAGGAAGGUGGGGAUGACGUCAAAUCAGCACGGCCCUUACGUCCGGGGCUACACACGUGUUACAAUGGGGGGUACAGAAGGCAGCUACCUGGUGACAGGAUGCUAAUCCCAAAAGCCUCUCUCAGUUCGGAUCGAAGUCUGCAACCCGACUUCGUGAAGCUGGAUUCGCUAGUAAUCGCGCAUCAGCCAUGGCGCGGUGAAUACGUUCCCGGGCCUUGUACACACCGCCCGUCAAGCCAUGAAAGCCGGGGGUACCUGAAGUACGUAACCGCAAGGAGCGUCCUAGGGUAAAACUGGUAAUUGGGGCUAAGUCAUAACAA